GAAUGCUGGUGUAAUCGAGGAACGAACGUCCUUCCAAUCCUGAUCUCUCAUCAAAGUGAGGAAUUUCCGUACCACUUUGCUUUUGAAGGUUACGUACUCUGCGAUUGACAAAGUGGCCAAAAUCCUUCACAAAGACGGACUUGAUUACGUCAGCGUCUGUUAUCCACAAGUUCGGAAGAGAUCCAUCAAAGUAACCGAAACAUCAUCAGCCAUAUUUUGUUACUAUCUCUUGAUCAUAUUUCGAUUCCCCACAUAUUACCAACAAGGGGAAAAGGCUUGGGGCCGGGAAUGCCUUGAUCGGAGAAAUACGUAAAGGACGACGUCACAUACCUUGCCGAUAAUUUGAAAAACAAAUGUUUAUUAUCAGAAAACUGAGACAACAAGUUCGUUGAGAACGAAGCCCACCUGAAGAAGAUAUAUGCAGUUGACACGGUAACAAGAGCCCAUGCCACGGGCGAAUUCAGGAGAAGCGCAGUAGCGUCCAUCUCGAAUGAAAGAACAGACGUGACUGUUGUUUUGUUGUAGAAAAUGAGAGGAUGCCGAAAAUACAAGGCCAUCUUGUGGA